CAGCAGCCGCGGGAAUACGAAGGGUGCAAGCGUUAAUCGGAAUUACUGGGCGUAAAGCGUGCGUAGGCGGUUUGUUAAGUCUGCUGUGAAAUCCCCGGGCUCAACCUGGGAAUGGCAGUGGAUACUGGCAAGCUAGAGUGUGUCAGAGGAUGGUGGAAUUCCCGGUGUAGCGGUGAAAUGCGUAGAGAUCGGGAGGAACAUCAGUGGUGAAGGCGGCCAUCUGGGACAACACUGACGCUGAGGCACGAAAGCGUGGGGAGCAAACAGGAUUAGAUACCCCCGUAGUCCCUGUCUCUUAUAC
rnacentral:rRNA from 1 species